rnacentral:lncRNA from 10 species
AUAGGACAAAUUCUUUAUAUGGUAAUGGUGAACACAUGUGAUGAAAGAUAACGGCCGAUACACAUCCACCUGCGAUUCCUCCCUGAGUCCCGUUAAAACAAUAAAAGGGAUGCUUUAAAGGAAUAAACACAUGAGAAUAAAAAGGAUGAGGAACAGCAGGAACAACUUUUUGGAAUCUGGUAACUGAUGAAUCAAGAAAGCUGAGUGGGGAAGCUGAGACUCAGCUUGGUUUACACCAAGAAAUCCCACCAUGAUGGAGAGAUGGGCAGUGCCGGCUGCCCCUGGUGGCAGGGGUGAAAGUGAGGUUGAAAGCAGGAAGAGAAGCUGAAAGUCUGUGCAAGCAGACAGACCCUAAUUACUUCUCCCACUCCUCAUGGUUGGCCAAAUGCACCUCCUGCCCCAGCGGGAGACUGGACCCUGAUUCUCUAGAGAAAGUAACACAGCUGUCUCUGCAAUGGGGGACACCAGGGACCUGUGGGGAGGGAGGAACUGCACUGAAAACGGGAAAUUAAAUUAAAGCUUACAUAUUGGAUAUCAAGACCCACAGUCUCCUUCCCCCACUCAGAUCUCAGAAUGCUGGCCAAGGAAGGAGGAGACUGGAAAAUUCUUCACGGGAGAAUAUGACCAACUCAAGAGAAAAGGGCUACGGGUGCUGACAUUUGUUUUUUAUCUUCUAAGGAUGAAUGAUAGAGGUGAAGACAAAAAAAAAAAGUGUUCUCUGCUUUCUUUUAACUUGGAAUUAACUCCUGUCAGAGAAAACACAAUAUCUUACACCCACUCUGUAUUAUUUCCCACAUUUUCUAUUUUAGAGGGUGGGAAUCAGUAUACCAUACUUGACAGGUACGACUACAAGUUUCCAGAGUCUACUUACGUUUCUACUGUUAUGGUUGUUUCUCAAAACAGCUGAACUCAAUCACCCUGGAGCAACGUUCUCAACUGACUGCAAUUAGAACCACUCUGGGAGCUUUAAAAAAUACCAAUCCCAGAGCCCCACCCUCCAGAGAUUCUGAUUUAAUUAAUCUGGGGAGGGCCCAGACAUCCGGGUUUGAAAAGCUCCCUCUCCUAAAAAAUAAAAGCUCCCCAGGUGAUUCCAACAUGCAGCAAAAAUUGAACAUCACUGUCAUCCAGUGAGGCCUGCACUUGAUAAGACCACUCCUGCAAUCAGAGUGCCCAGUCAGCAUCUUAGUACAUAAUUUUAAAUAUGACUGGAUAGGCAAGGGUUGCCAGGAUAGCGAAGUAAAACUUUGUGUUUUUUAAAAAAAGAAACAUUUAGUGAACCAAAAAUAACCUUAAGAUAGCAGAAAUAAACUCAAUAGAAGACUUAGAAGUUAAAGAUAAGCAGAGCAAACGGUAAAGAAAAAUACAGAAAAUGAGGGGACAACUUCAAGAAGUCCAGCAUGAAAAUAAUAGGCACCCCAGAAUGACAGAACAGAAAAAACAGAGGAAGAAAACAUCAAAGAAAUAAUUCAAGACGAAGGCCUUGAGCUUCCGAUUGAAAAGGCUUACCAGGUACCAGCAUAAUGGAUGAAAGCACACCUACAUGAAGGCAUGUGAUGAUUACAUUUCAGACUGAGACAAAAUUCUACAAGCUUCCCACUAGGAAAGAGGGGAAAUAUCUACAUGCAAAGGACCAAGAUUAUAAUGGCAUUGAGUCUCUCCCCAUUAGAAGCCAAAAGACAAUAGAACAAUUCAAAUUUCUGAAGAAAAAGCAUUUCCCAUGUAGAACCUUGUAUCUAGCUAAAUUGCAUUAUCAAUUACUUGUGAGAAUAGUAUGGACAUUUUCAGACUUGAAAAAUCCAAAAUGUUAUCUCUUAUCCCCAUCUCAAAAUGUUAUUGGAGGAGAUGUUACACCAAAAUGAAGAAGAGGAAGACAUGGAACCCAGGAAAAGGGUCCAGCCCAGGAGAGAAGCAAAGAAAAUAUCCAGAGAGAUGCAGGGAGAUCCCAGACGACUUCUGUGCAGCAGACCUGCAGAACAACUAAUCCAGAUGAAACUGAAGUUUCCCAGCCUCCCUUGCAGCUAGGUGUGAACAUGUGACCUUAGCUCCAGCAAUCAGUUGUAUCCAUGUGAGAUUUCAUUUGUGGAUAAAACAAUGUAAAGAAGCAAGCAUCAAUGGGAAGCCAUUUUCAAGGAAAGUUAGAGGGGGAGGCAGCUAACCUUCAGGGACAGCAUGGGUGGCAGUAUUCAUCUCCCUGACAGCCAGUAGUUCAGUCUGAGGACUGUCCUUCAUUGUGCAGUCUCCAAGGCUGCCUCUCUUUCCUCCUGGGAUUCUGGACAGAUCAGAAGUCAGACAAGGGUCUCCCUGGGCUAAAAUUGAGGUGCCGGCAGGGCUGGGUUCGUUUCUGGAAGCCCUGGGGCAGAUGGAUCCACUUGCUUGCUCAUUCACAGAAUUGGCAGAAUUCAGUUCCUUGCAGGGAGGGGUAGGACUGACUGCAGUCACAUUCCCUUGUGGGCUCUUGGCUGGGGGCCGUUUCCAACUCCUGGAAGCCACCUGCAGUCCUUGACUCACAGCCCCUUCUUCCAUCCUCAGAGUCAUCAACAGUGGGUGGAGUCCCUCUCACACUUAGACUCUUUCCUUCCUCUUCUUUCUGGCAUCUCUGGCUCCCUCAUCUGCCUUUUGCUUUCAAGGACUCAUGUGAUUAGAUUGGGCCCACCUGGAUAAUCCAGGCUGUUCUCUCCUUUCAAGGUCCUUAAUUUUAAUCACAUCUGCAAAGGCAAGCACCAAUGAGACGCAGUGGGUCAUCCAAUGGACAUCCUAGGAGAGAACCUCCCCCUCUUUCCAGGCCUCAAAGCUGAGGAGAUAUGAGGGAUAGAGCUGCUGCAGCUAUUCUGUGACUCUGAGGUUAGGGCUUGAGGUAGGAGCCAAUGUAGAAGAGAGUAGGAAAAAGGAAAGAGAGCCAUGCCAUGUCCUAGUGGUAUCACUGUUGCUAACUACUGUUCCCCUUCACUGUGGCCUCUGUGAGAUUUCCGGUCCUAAUGACAACAGUUUCCCCAAAGCAGUGGUUUUCAGCACUGGGCUACCCAUAAUAAUUACGAGGGAUACAUCAAUGAUAGACUGGAUAAAGAAAAUGUGGUACAUAUACACCAUGGAAUACUAUACAGCCAUAAAAAGGAAUGAGAUCACAUCCUUUGCAGGGACAUGGAUGAAGCUGGAAGCCAUCAUCCUCAACAAACUAACACAGGAACAGAAAACCAAACACUGCAUGUUCUCACUCAUACGUAGGAGCUGAACAAUGAGAACACAUGGAUACAGGGAGGGGAACAACACACACCUGGGCCUGUUGGGGGGUGAGGUGAGGGGAGGGAAAGCAUUAGGACAAAUGGCUGAUGCAUGCGGGGCUUAAUACCUAGGUGACGGGAUGAUAAGUGCAGCAAACCACCAUGGCACAUGUUUACCUAUGUAACAAACCUGCACAUGUGUCCCGGAACUUAAAGUAAAAUAAAAUUUUUAAAAAGUCUUCAUAUUUACAACCAGAAAACAAAAAUUACCCAGGAUACCUAAAAAACAAAAACAGAACAAAACAAAACAAACAAACAAAAAACACCAACCAGACCUGGUCCCAUCCCCCAGAGAUUCUGAUUCACUUGAUCUGGGAUGGAGCAGCCUGGAAGGAUGGGGAAAAGAGAAGGGAAAGAACAAGAAGAGAAAAACAGCAUUUCAGCCAGAGCUUCUCAUUUAUUUGUAUUUAAAAAUAAAAAUAAAACCAUUUUGGACUGAGCCCCUGGGUCAGUCCCCACUGACCACGGUCUGCAUGCAGUGCCAGACUGGAAGGCGUGAAGAAAGGAGAGGUUCCCUUUGGCCUUGCAAUGGUGCUUCAUGAACCCCCAGCACCAUCCGUGUCCUAAAAGAAGAAGCAAACACCAAAGGGCCAGCCAAUGGAAAAGUCUGGCCAGGUGAGUGUGUGGGAAGUUUGUAACCUGCAGAGGAGUCCAAGGACCGCCCCCCAAAAAGGGGUCUGCAAAGUCCCUAAACCCAGGUGAGGUGAUGCUGGUGGCUCUCCAUGCUCAGAGGCCUUGUUCUCCUGUCUGGAAGAGCUCAAUUCCCAGCCCAAGGUGGAGGCUG